CUCCAUUGAUGACCUCAAGUUUGUGCCACGUGUCUGGGCCACUGAAUGUAAAUGAUGGGAUUGAGAAACUGAAGGAG